rnacentral:rRNA from 1 species
AGUGAACGCUGGCGGUAGGCCUAACACAUGCAAGUCGAACGGCAGCACAGUAAGAGCUUGCCCUUACGGGUGGCGAGUGGCGGACGGGUGAGGAAUACAUCGGAAUCUACUUUUUCGUGGGGGAUAACGUAGGGAAACUUACGCUAAUACCGCAUACGACCUACGGGUGAAAGCAGGGGAUCUUCGGACCUUGCGCGAUUGAAUGAGCCGAUGUCGGAUUAGCUAGUUGGCGGGGUAAAGGCCCACCAAGGCGACGAUCCGUAGCUGGUCUGAGAGGAUGAUCAGCCACACUGGAACUGAGACACGGUCCAGACUCCUACGGGAGGCAGCAGUGGGGAAUAUUGGACAAUGGGCGCAAGCCUGAUCCAGCCAUACCGCGUGGGCGAAGAAGGCCUUCGGGUUGUAAAGCCCUUUUGUUGGGAAAGAAAAGCAGCAGGUUAAUACCCCGCUGUUCUGACGGUACCCAAAGAAUAAGCACCGGCUAACUUCGUG